UGGUCUUCUCAUCUUGAAUCUAGGAUUA
rnacentral:piRNA from 1 species